rnacentral:rRNA from 1 species
AUCCUGGCGGCGAGUGGCGAACGGGUGAGUAAUACAUCGGAACGUGCCCAAUCGUGGGGGAUAACGCAGCGAAAGCUGUGCUAAUACCGCAUACGAUCUACGGAUGAAAGCAGGGGAUCGCAAGACCUUGCGCGAAUGGAGCGGCCGAUGGCAGAUUAGGUAGUUGGUGAGGUAAAGGCUCACCAAGCCUUCGAUCUGUAGCUGGUCUGAGAGGACGACCAGCCACACUGGGACUGAGACACGGCCCAGACUCCUACGGGAGGCAGCAGUGGGGAAUUUUGGACAAUGGGCGAAAGCCUGAUCCAGCCAUGCCGCGUGCAGGAUGAAGGCCUUCGGGUUGUAAACUGCUUUUGUACGGAACGAAACGGCCUUUUCUAAUAAAGAGGGCUAAUGACGGUACCGUAAGAAUAAGCACCGGCUAACUACGUGCCAGCAGCCGCGGUAAUACGUAGGGUGCAAGCGUUAAUCGGAAUUACUGGGCGUAAAGCGUGCGCAGGCGGUUAUGUAAGACAGUUGUGAAAUCCCCGGGCUCAACCUGGGGACUGCAUCUGUGACUGCAUAGCUAGAGUACGGUAGAGGGGGAUGGAAUUCCGCGUGUAGCAGUGAAAUGCGUAGAUAUGCGGAGGAACACCGAUGGCGAAG